rnacentral:rRNA from 1 species
GAUCAUGGCUCAGGAUGAACGCUAGCUACAGGCUUAACACAUGCAAGUCGAGGGGCAGCAUGUUGGUUGCUUGCAACCAUGAUGGCGACCGGCGCACGGGUGAGUAACGCGUAUCCAACUUCCCCUUAGUAGGGCAUAGCCCGGCGAAAUCGGAUUAAUACCCUAUGUUCUUCGUAGAUGACAUCUGAAAUGAAGCAAAGGUUUACCGCUAAGGGAUGGGGAUGCGUCUGAUUAGGCAGUCGGCGGGGUAACGGCCCACCGAGCCGACGAUCAGUAGGGGUUCUGAGAGGAAGGUCCCCCACAUUGGAACUGAGACACGGUCCAAACUCCUACGGGAGGCAGCAGUGAGGAAUAUUGGUCAAUGGGCGAGAGCCUGAACCAGCCAAGUAGCCGUGCAGGAAGACGGCCCUAUGGGUUGUAAACUGCUUUUAUGCGGGGAUAAAGUCGCCCACGUGUGGGUGUUUGUAGGUACCGCAUGAAUAAGGACCGGCUAAUUCCGUGCCAGCAGCCGC